rnacentral:rRNA from 1 species
UACGGAGGGUGCGAGCGUUGUCCGGAAUCACGGGGCGUAAAGGGCGCGUAGGCGGCCUGAUAAGUAGGGGGUGAAAUCCUGCGGCUUAACCGCAGGGCUGCCUUCUAAACUGUCAGGCUAGAGCACAGUAGAGGCAGGUGGAAUUCCCGGUGUAGCGGUGGAAUGCGUAGAGAUCGGGAAGAACAUCAGUGGCGAAGGCGGCCUGCUGGGCUGUUGCUGACGCUGAGGCGCGACAGCGUGGGGAGCAAACGGG